GACGAACGCUGGCGGCGUGCUUAACACAUGCAAGUCGAGCGGUAAGGCCCUUUCGGGGGUACACGAGCGGCGAACGGGUGAGUAACACGUGGGUGACCUGCCCUCAGCUCUGGGAUAAGCCUGGGAAACUGGGUCUAAUACCGGAUAUGACUCCAUGACGCAUGUUGUGGGGUGGAAAGCCUUGUGCGGCUGAGGAUGGGCCCGCGGCCUAUCAGCUUGUUGGUGGGGUGANGGCCUACCAAGGCGACGACGGGUAGCCGGCCUGAGAGGGCGACCGGCCACACUGGGACUGAGACACGGCCCAGACUCCGUACGGGAGGCAGCAGUGGGGAAUCUUGCGCAAUGGGCGAAAGCCUGACGCAGCGACGCCGCGUGAGGGAUGACGGCCU
rnacentral:rRNA from 1 species